rnacentral:rRNA from 1 species
GAUGAACGCUGGCGGCGUGCCUAAUACAUGCCAGUCGAGCGAACAGACGAGGAGCUUGCUCCUCUGACGUUAGCGGCGGACGGGUGAGUAACACGUGGAUAACCUACCUAUAAGACUGGGAUAACUUCGGGAAACCGGAGCUAAUACCGGAUAAUAUAUUGAACCGCAUGGUUCAAUAGUGAAAGACGGUUUUGCUGUCACUUAUAGAUGGAUCCGCGCCGCAUUAGCUAGUUGGUAAGGUAACGGCUUACCAAGGCAACGAUGCGUAGCCGACCUGAGAGGGUGGUCGGCCACACUGGAACUGAGACACGGUCCAGACUCCUACGGGAGGCAGCAGUAGGGAAUCUUCCGCAAUGGGCGAAAGCUUGACGGAGCAUCGCCGCGUGGGUGAUGAAGGUCUUCGGAUCGUAAAACUCUGUUAUUAGGGAAGAACAAAUGUGUAAGUAACUAUGCACGUCUUGACGGUACCUAAUCAGAAAGCCACGGCUAACUACGUG